rnacentral:rRNA from 1 species
AUGAACGCUGGCGGCGUGCCUAAUACAUGCAAGUCGAGCGAACAGAUGAGGAGAUUGCUCCUAUGACGUUAGCGGCGGACGGGUGAGUAACACGUGGAUAACCUACCUAUAAGACUGGGAUAACUUCGGGAAACCGGAGCUAAUACCGGAUAAUAUAUUGAACCGCAUGGUUCAAUAGUGAAAGACGGUUUUGCUGUCACUUAUAGAUGGAUCCGCGCCGCAUUAGCUAGUUGGUAAGGUAACGGCUUACCAAGGCAACGAUGCGUAGCCGACCUGAGAGGGGGAUCGGCCAAACUGGAACUGAAACACGGUCCAGACUCCUACGGGAGGCAGCAGUAGGGAAUCUUCCGCAAUGGGCGAAAGCCUGACGGAGCAACGCCGCGUGAGUGAUGAAGGUCUUCGGAUCGUAAAACUCUGUUAUUAGGGAAGAACAAAUGUGUAAGUAACUAUGCACGUCUUGACGGUACCUAAUCAGAAAGCCACGGCUAACUACGUG